UUGACAGUUUGGCUUCCCUGUUCUGGGUGGCAAAGCCUGUGGAGUACUCACCUACCUGCUGCAUGAAGGCAGCAUGGAGGGACUGUGGUGGAUUAUCUGCAAAGAUGGCCAAAAUUCUCUCAUCCCUGCAGGCACAUACAAGAUGGUGCCUAGUGUUUGAAGGGAGAACUUGUGGGCAGAGCAGGAAGCGUGAGUAUGGUUGAAGGAUCAAAUAUUUGGUUCAGGCAUCAGGGAGCCAGCAAGACUAUGAUGCUGGGAAACACAAGUGAUGUACUGUUGGAUUUAAUCUACUUGGAAAAAACCUAGGAAAACCAAAAUGUCAUCAACUAACACCUGAAAUGCCUCAGCACCAUCUGUCUCCAACAUUAAACAAAACCCACGAGAUUCCGGGAGAAAGAAAAUAGGAAAUUUAAUGAUGAACUUAACCUGAGUAACUUGAUAAAUGUUACCUUUGUGGCUAGCCAUUCACCAGCAAGUCCCUAAAAUGACCUGAAACCUGAAGAGUGUUUCACCCAUGAAAGGGUUUGCUCUCUCUGGGCAUGGCUACCCAGCACAUAUGUUAGUCAACUUUCUUUCCCUUGCGGGGCCCCUUGGAAAACUAGUUUGAAUCAUUCAUUAACUCAGCUCCACUCCUUCCCUUUCCCAUGGACCAUAGUUUCUUUGAGCAAUUAAAACUUAUAAGACACCCAAA
rnacentral:lncRNA from 1 species